UUAGAUGUCCGGGGCCGCACGCGCGCUACACUGAAGGAAUCAGCGUGUGCUUUCCCGGUCCGCCAGGACUGGGUAACCCGUUGAACCUCCUUCGUGAUAGGGAUAGGGGCUUGUAAUUAUUCCCCUUGAACGAGGAAUGCCCAGUAAGCGCGAGUCAUAACCUCGUGUUGAUUAAGUCCCUGCCCUUUGUGCACACCGCCCGUCGCUACCUCCGAUUGAAUGAUUUAGUGAGGUCUUCGGACUGGCGCUCGGAACGGUCUCCGGGCCGGGCCGACGUGCCGGAAAGAUGACCGAACUUGAUCAUUUAGAGGAAGUAAAAGUCGUAACAAGGUUUCC
rnacentral:rRNA from 1 species